rnacentral:rRNA from 1 species
GAGCGGUAGAGAGAAGCUUGCUUCUCUUGAGAGCGGCGGACGGGUGAGUAAUGCCCAGGAAUCUGCCUGGUAGUGGGGGAUAACGUUCGGAAACGGACGCUAAUACCGCAUACGUCCUACGGGAGAAAGCAGGGGACCUUCGGGCCUUGCGCUAUCAGAUGAGCCUAGGUCGGAUUAGCUAGUUGGUGGGGUAAUGGCUCACCAAGGCGACGAUCCGUAACUGGUCUGAGAGGAUGAUCAGUCACACUGGAACUGAGACACGGUCCAGACUCCUACGGGAGGCAGCAGUGGGGAAUAUUGGACAAUGGGCGAAAGCCUGAUCCAGCCAUGCCGCGUGUGUGAAGAAGGUCUUCGGAUUGUAAAGCACUUUAAGUUGGGAGGAAGGGUUGUAGAUUAAUACUCUGCAAUUUUGACGUUACCGACAGAAUAAGCACCGGCUAACUCUGUG